rnacentral:lncRNA from 1 species
AUCGAGCUGUGGCGGGGAAGUGGCGCUGAUCCUCGGUUCAGUCACGACUCUUUGCACUCAGCAGCUACUUUUGGCGCACAGCUUCUCCCACAUGCAGGCAGCCGGGGAGCCACAUUGUUGCGUAAUUCAAUUUGAAUUGGUUUAUUAAUGAUUUUUGUUAUCUUUUUUUUACCAGAGAAUUUGUGAAGCAGUCAUGUAAUUAAAUGAGGGGAAAACCGUGUUGGCAAACCAUACCUCCAUAAACACCACACUAAGAAUGAACUCAGCCUGGACAUUUUAGGUUAGCCUAAUUAACUGUUAAUUAAACCAAGUAGCAAAUAAUUAAGAGUAAGACUGGUGGCUUUACUAGUAACAACUUCCCUGUUUUACAUUUUAAACAAUUUCCCAAAUGACUUAAGGCGCAAAACUAACCAUAGCAAUGUUAGCUAGCUAAAACAAACAUUAGCAUUAGUACCUAAUUCCAUUGGGGCUCAAUUUUGCCCUUUAUUGCCUGUUUUAAUAAAAGUCUUAUAAUGUAAUAAACAUACCUUUGUUUUAAAUUCCCCUACCCAUAACUGUCCUUGGUUCCCCCGGUUUGUACGUCCUCCAAAGCAUUGUUUUAAAUGUGUGAGACUUCCCUUUCAUGAGAAAUUCUGCUAACGUUAGCUUGCUAGCAUCUUCUCAACAUUUUUUUUUUUCAACAAAUAACUCCAUAACGCCAAACUUAAAAAAAAAUAAAUUAAAAAAACGCACUCAAACGGAUAAACGAAAGUACGGAAUACAUUUCCAGUUUUCCUCAAAAGGUUUUCCUCUCCCAGGAAAGUGAAAAAUAUUCUGUGAUGCUCCUUUUCUCAACUGUGACUGUGUUUCUCAAAGGUAACAGGGCAAUUAGUAAAGAUGGCCGCUGGAGGAGACAUAAUGUCUAAAGCCAACGGCCAAACAUAUGUAAAUGAUGGCUGCACAGAAGAAGCAGAUGGGUCGCUGACCUGCUCUCUUCGGCGGGCCGGGGUGUGCAGAGGCACAAAUGGAGCAGCAGGAGCAGAUGGGAGCGAGACGGAUGAGACGAGGAUGAGACAGAGCUGUGUGCUUAAUAUUUAACCAGUGAAGCAGCAUGCUGCUGCUCCGCCCAGGAGGGGUGGAGGAUAAAAUCAUCACACUGAAGUGACACUGAGUGUAGAGACGCUGGAAUUCACAGGUGGAAAGUUCAGUAAAUGAGUUUAUCUGUGUCGUUAUAUCUGCUGUUCUAUCUUGAAGUUAUAUGAAAGUAAACUUAUAACAUUUCUGUUAUAAGUUUUGUGCUACCCACAACAUAGUGUUGGAGAGACUUGACACUCUUACUCCACACAUUUUCUGUAUGUGGGUAAAAAUAUUCCCCAAAAUUUUUGAUAAUGAAAAAGAAAAAAAUAAUAAUCUCAGUGAUUGAUUGAUACCGUGUAGAAAAUACUGUGUGAAAAUACUCUGGCAAAACUGAACACGCAAGAUCAUUUUACUUGUUCUUUUUUGUUUUUUACUUCACUAUCCUCUGGCAAAAGAGCUGGCCUUGUUAACCCCAGUGAUAACCUCUCUACGCGUCUCUGCCACCUGAUGCAAUUAGAUACACUGCACAUUUAUUGGAUUAUCUCUUUAAAUUGCACAUAUUCUCUAUACUUUAUACUGUGAACUUUUGCAUGUAUUUUUCAAGCUACUGUCUUGUGCAUGAACACCUAUAACAACAAACCACAUUCUAUUCCCAAAUCCAAGUACAUUUUUGAACUCAUAUCUCAUAUUUACUUGGAGUAUUUGUUCAACUUCUGUGUGGUAUUUUGGGUAAAAUAUCAAAGUGAGGCAACUGAUAAAAUACACGUAAGGUGGUGUAUUUAGGGUUAACUAUGUGCUUCGUUUUGAGGGAGGAAGCAGUUCGGUAUUGUGUGCUGGUUUGUUGCAGCACUCUGCAGUGAGUGGAUGUUUAUGAACAUUAAUAGUAUGCUAUAAGAUUAAUAGUGUACUUAUGUGUUUAAUUUGGAUGCAAAUUAGUGGAAACUUUAUAGGAUGCAAGUCGACAAGGAGAAGUGAGGCUCGGCAGCAGCGCCCCCAACAGAGACUUACCAGAACUGCCAACAAGCAGAUCUCCCUCAGGCCACUUCAUUAAUCAACACACACAGGUCUGACACGCACGCACACACACACACACAUGCACACAGGUCUGACACACACACAAACAUCUCACUAUAUUGGCUGCAAACCAGUGUGAACCAGGUUUCACAGAAUUAACACCGUGCCUGUGGACAUCAGUACCCUAUAAACGUCCCCGGGAAAGCCAUGUCGGCCUAAACACUGUUUAAUCAGCAGUCA